CUGUGUUCUGCAAUGCUUCGUUACCACGUUUAUCGAUUAUGCACGUUGGUUACGUGAUUCAAUGUCAAGUGUACCUUCCAAGACGAUCGAGGUCCUAGUCUCGUGAAUGACGGCGAGUGCGGACGUAGAGCAGCCUUUUGACAAGACUGUCGCCGAGUGUACAGUACAUUGUGGACUGUAAAGCUGAAGAGUGCACAGUGGAUGCCUGAUUUUGGAACCGAGUGUGAUCGUCUGUGCGGUGUGUUCACUCUGCGGGGAUGAUGGCCAGAGGAAGGAUGAUAGACAGACGACAGCUUGCAGAAGAAGAUGGGAGCGUUCUACCUGUGAGCCUGGUCGAGCUUAUAUUUUAUGGAUACACAUGCAUGGAUACACAUACAUGGAUUCCCUACAAGGACCCUGCGCAUCAAAAGCAAUCUGUCAUCAAUGUUAAGUAGACAGAUUAAACGAAACGAAGAUAUGACAGGUGUACACCAUAUUUUUCUUUCAUUUAACCUCUACAUGU